AUUGAACGCUGGCGGCAGGCCUAACACAUGCAAGUCGAGCGGAUGAAGGGAGCUUGCUCCUGGAUUCAGCGGCGGACGGGUGAGUAAUGCCUAGGAAUCUGCCUGGUAGUGGGGGAUAACGUCCGGAAACGGGCGCUAAUACCGCAUACGUCCUGAGGGAGAAAGUGGGGGAUCUUCGGACCUCACGCUAUCAGAUGAGCCUAGGUCGGAUUAGCUAGUUGGUGGGGUAAAGGCCUACCAAGGCGACGAUCCGUAACUGGUCUGAGAGGAUGAUCAGUCACACUGGAACUGAGACACGGUCCAGACUCCUACGGGAGGCAGCAGUCGGGAAUAUUGGGCAAUGGGCGAAAGCCUGAUCCAGCCAUGCCGCGUGUGUGAAGAAGGUCUUCGGAUUGUAAAGCACUUUAAGUUGGGGGGAAGGGCAGUAAGUUAAUACCUUGCUGUUUUGACGUUACCAACAGAAUAAGCACCGGCUAACUUCGUG
rnacentral:rRNA from 1 species